CACGAGAGCGAAAGGAGAAAACGGUGAAAAGAGUCAAAGGGAGAAGACGGUGAAGACUGGAGUGUGCUCGGAGCACAGCGAUGCCUCCAUCUGCUAUGAGCCACACUCUUCUUUGAUGGAAUAUCCCGGACAGCGGAGGGCAGAAGGAGGGAGAAGAAAAAGAAGGAGAAGAAGAAGAAUAACAGGACUGAGAAGACGGGACGGCCAGCGCUCGCCUCAGGAGGCUCCAUCCAAGCUCAUUGUCCUCUCAAACGCGCACACACCUCGCCACUGAGAGUGUUGCGUACACGUGCGUGCAUGAGGACGGGGGUGUGUGUGCGGCCGGUCUUUCUACGCAGCAGCGCAGCCCGGCACCAGCUUUCACUCUGAGGUUCACGUAGAUGCGGUGCAUCAGAUAGGACAUGCCCUUCACCUGCGCCUGCUUCUGUGGCCUUAAUGGCUUCUGCCGCAGACGGAGGAAGAAGAAAAGUGAUCAAGUGGAGGAUGAGGAGUGUGAAGAGGUAGAGCAAUGGAGGGAUCAGGAGACACAGGUGUGACAGCAUUGCUGUCAGCCCAGCUGUCUUCGCCUUUUCUGUGGGAUUUAUCCCUAAUGGACCGAAAUGUGUGGCCUGGGUUAUCACUGCUCAGGACAGCCUCCACUGUCUGGUAUGCUGCCUGGCGACAUUAUAACAGAGAUGGUAAAGGGGGUUCAACGAGCACAGGCUUUUAUUUAAAGUUAAAAAAAAUAAAGAAAGAAAAGGUGGUUUCGAAUCAGGUACUGUAUUUUUCCCAGAGUAUCGGUGACUAACACUUCUUCUUUUGUACUUUUUAACCUGGCUAAACUCAACAAGCACAAGGCUGUCUUGAGCCACGCUCUUCAAGUUGAAAAUAAAAGCCUGCGAACUCCUCGCUCAUGCCCAUUACACAUCCCUGCAGCACUCUCAUUUCUCCUUUGGCAGCUGACUGAGAACUUUGCUUUUGCUGAUGUGAUUCCAAAAAAAGAGAAAAAAAUCGUAUCUGUUUGAUUAAUUUCUUGCCAUAGCUGGCGUUCCUCACAAGGUGCGAAGAGGCGAUGGACUCUAGAAAUCCAUUAUUUUUCUGAGUCGCACUCCUCACCGCUCCUCCGCGGGGGCUGAAUUAGAGCCAAAGCUCGACUGAGCUCUGCACCUCCUCACCUACCUGCUUAUGUCAGAUCAACUUAGUGAAAACUUCAGCUGAGUGAGAAAGUGUGCAGUAAUUUCCAGAGUCACCCAUGGAGGGCCGGAGCCCAUCUCGGCUUUUCACGCUGCGCUGGGCUCCAUCUAAAGCCAAGCAGCUGUCCAAUCAGCAGCUUAGCUGGAGUGUGAAGAUAGGAGUCAGGGGUCAGAGUGAGCAGCGGAGUUUGGGAGAAGUCCUUCCGCUUACGGCGUAGCAUCUCUGUCUCAUUAACAGGCAGACGAGUAAUUACAAACACACGCACACAUGGAUGCAGACCCAUCAAUUAAUGUCCCCCAUUGGGAGAGGAGUGUCUGUCCGUAAAUGCCGUUGCGGUGCUCUUCCAGCUGUCACCUGUUUGAGUGUAGGACUCUGCGAGUGUUGUGUGUGUGUCUGUGCUUCUUCUUGGCUGCAACAAUAGCUUUUCAAAGCUGAAACAAGUGGUUAAGAUAUCUGUUCAGCCACUACAGUACAGCCUUUCCAGAAUGCACAUGGAGACACAAAGACAAAAGACACACACACACACAGGUCUCAUUAGCAUGUGUGAUUAUGCAUGGCACGUCCAGUCAGGCAGUGGAGAUGUAAUUAACCUUUUCCAGCAGGAAACAGAUGCCUGGAUGUCACACACAAACACACAUGCUAUGGCACACAUACACACACACUGACACACACACACGUCUGCUGUCAGGGAAACAAAGCCAACGUCAUGGUGUCACGGAAACAAAGCCCCAAAAGCGCCGCCUGGCACUCUGUGAUAAUCCCCUCACGCAUAUUUACAUUCAGGGCUUAGAAUACGCCUCAGUGCCGCCGUCUCCACCCCCUGCUGCACGCUGUUUCGCCCCCCUCCCCAACUUCUUCGCUGCCAUCCUCUCUCCCCUCUCCGAUCUACCUUCGGGCCUUCCACCUCAUUCGCCCGAAGUCCUCCUGCUAUCUCUCCCUCUGCUCCAUCUUUCACUCGUCGUGUCCCGAAACUCUCUCCUUGCUCGGAUUCAUCUGUUUAUUAUCGGUGGAUAGUACAUGGCCUUGCAUGGCAGCUCCCAUAGAUUAGCCCCCACCCGUCUCUCUUUCUCUGUCUGCGAAUAUCAGGGAUUCCUUCAGGCGGGCAAAAAGCUGCUUUACGACAGAUUAAUGAACGGCCCUGAUUGUGUCUGUUGGUGUGUGUCUACGCCUGCAUGGAAUAGAUUGUCUGUUUACUCAUUCUCCUGCUACAAGCGGCGAAAUGAGACAAAGCUAAAGCCAUUUCACAGUGUAGAGCACCUAUUAUGAUUCACUGUGUUACGACGCAGCCCUAAUGAGAAAGAGAGAGAAUGAGAGGAGGGACGAUAGCGGAGGAAGAGAGAGAAAGACGGUAAUGAGAGCACGAGCUGGAUGCGUGUGUGUGUGGAGGGGGGGCUAAUGCUAGACAGAGCAGUCAUGCUAAUUGGCUACAGUGGAUAACUUUCUGAGGUGGGGCAUGAGAGUGUGUGCGUGUGGGGGGGAGGCAGCGAAAAGAACAGCCUGAUCUGUCGGCGUUGCACUCGUUUAACUCCCUCCAUUUCACCUCUUUAAUGAGAGGAAUAUUCGCUCCAGUAAUGGAGAAAGACUUUAAAUUGGUAACGAUUUGUUGCUCACACACACACACAUGCACAGAGGUGGUACGAUGUGGUGGUGGGGCAAGUGAGGAUGGGGUGGGGGUAGGGCUGGAGGGUGAAUUGGCACUGGCAACGGUGUGUGUGUGUGUGUGCGAGCAUGUUCUCCCUCAAGCACCACAACCCCUUUAUGGAUCAUGGCAAUUUUCGGGGAUUGUAACUCAAGGACAAACAGCUAAAAAUAGAGGGGUGGUGCAUGACUCCUGCGAGAGCGGCGAGGGGGAGGGCGGGUUGUGGGAGGUGGUGAGCGCGCGGGGACGGCGAAAACGAGUCCUGUCGCAUUAGAUUUGGGUCAGAAACGAGGGAAGAGCCGGCGAAGCGGAGAGUGUUACAGACGGCUGGAAGAUUCAUCACUUGCUGCUCCCUGUACGUCUCACGCGUCUCCUUCAACACCUUGCUGCCCCUCCUCUCUGCUCCCACACAUCAUGCACACACCUGCAGGAGAUGGAGAGGGGAGGGCGCCGGGAACAAGGACGCCCAGAGAAAGGGUGAGAAAUUGGUGAGAAAAGACGGUAAACCACCGGAAAGACAAAGAUGUAAUAUCAGGGCAGAAAAGGCAAAUUUGAAAUGUGGCAAAAAAAAGAGCGUGAACUUCAGUUAGGUUAGAUAUAAUAUUAAUAUAUGUCAUCCGAUUCAAAGGCCCUUUGCUGCAUAAUGAGGUCAUACAUAAAUUCAAAUGGUGGAUGAUACUAGUAGGGAAUGAACUCUAAUGAAAGGGACUUACUUCUGAAUUGCAUCAGAAGCUCUGUUCCCCCAGCUUAAAGGAGAAGCUUCACACAGUAGGCUUAUUUGCUCCUGUGUCAAAAUGGCUAAUCUUCUGUCUGCACGUUUAAUUGUUAGCAAAAAGAAAAGGGCAGACUGAAGUCUUUACACGAAAGUGUCAUUUCCCAAAUGUCGGACUUCUGCUUUAUUCUGAAGGGGAGUGAGUUAAUCUCUACCUAACCCCAUGUAACCCAACGAUAGUUCCCUGUGAAUUUAAAAUGAGACUUCUGAACCACAUUAUUUAAGUUCCAUUUGAAAACACGAAUCACCAAAAAUCGAUCGCCCCAAAGAUAUUUUCAUUGUUGGGCAUUUGGAUACAACCCAAGAUUUGUCUUAGUUGGUUUGCGACUACUUACAAAUCAUGAGUAGGUGCAGUGUCACGUAUAUACUGUAUAUAUAUAUAUUGCAGAUAUAGUCCAAACAUAUGUGUCCGCAUUUCCAGCAGCUUAAGGAAAUGACAUGAUGUUGCAGAUGUUACAGGGGUUUGUGGUGGGGUUAGCUGUACAGCAUGAUUAUUAUAGCAGGGUUAGCAAACUCAACCACAGACUUUAUAUAAAAGAUGGAUAUCACCAAUUUGACUCUGUAUUUGAAACCUCAGAUUAAAUUAUUCAUAGAGACCAAAACAUUCUUUUCACUAUCCCAGGCUGUAAAUGUGCUAAUUUCAUGGCAAAAAUUGGCCAUGAAAAUAUGUCUGUAGUUACUGACUUACCCUCAAGUGGCCAAUAUAGGAACUGCAAUUUCUGCACCACAGGUUGACCGUUGUAGUAGAAGUUCUUAUUCUGGUUCAGACAAGUCAUGAUCAACACGAGCUGAUGGAUCAAAUCUAUUUGCAAGUGAUGUAUAAAUCAAAGAAGACCUUUGUAGACCCCAGACAAAUGACAGUAUUGCUGGCACUAACAUAAAGUUGUGUGGUAUUCAGGGAAAACCAGUGAAGCUAGCUCGCAUGGUUGCACCACAGUUGCAAGCUGUUCAGUCAGAUGGGUGUUCUAGUAGCCUGGUAUUGUAGAUGAAUGCAUUAUACCUGCAAUAUGCCACAAUUUGAUUCUGGCCACCAGCCUAUGUGUCACUGUCAAAUAAAAGGCAAAAUUCCAAAAGAAUAAUCUCAAUAAAAAAUUACGCAGUAAGCGUGCACAUACACUUAGGUGGCAGACCCGAUCUCUCUGUGCAAACAUCCCCACAUGCAGAUAGACACACACAUCACACACGCACAUAUACCCUACCAUUCAUCACACUGUUGUCCCACCAUUGCUUCUGCUUCUCUCACCCACAUCUGUUGUGUUGUUCCUAAUGAAGAGAAAAGUGAUGGUCCCACUAAGGCUAAUUAGGAGAAAUGAGAUGCGCAGUGAUGAUAGACUGGUGAUAGUCAAGAGGGAAGUGCUAACGCCGGCCGAUUAGAGCUCCCACCGGCUCUGGAGUAUCAGAGGAGUGGAGCGGGAAAAAUGGGGGAUAAAAACAAGCAGUGGAAGGAGAAGGAGGGAGAGAUAUAUAGCGUAAUUGAGACUGUAAUGGGUUUUGUCAGGAGCACCUGUCAGGGUCAAGUUAAAAUGGCUUCGGUGAGAGAGGAAGAGAGGGAUGAGAGGAUGGGAGAGCGGAGAAGGGGCCAAUUGGAGUCAGGAUCCUGGUGAGGAGAGGCCCUCGUCCAUGCCAACCUCACCUGAUUGCCAAUUUGUGCCAGUCUUCAGGCAUCAAACACAAUAUGAGCCACAGUGAGACACACAAACACCUCUGAUUGGAGAGUGGUAACCAGCUAAAAGCACCCAUGCACACUCAAUCACACAGACGGGCGCAAACUCACACUGACAGCCCACCUACGCCUGUUGAUUGGGCACAUCUAGCCCCUUAACAAGGUGUCCACGGUGCAGACCCAGGCGUGUGAUUGAAAGAUAAAACUGUCGCCAUUAAAUAUCUAAUUCUCCCCCACGUCUCCAUGAAAAUAAGGCGCGGUGCUGAUUAGAUUGCAGCCUGCUGUGCCAACCUCAGGUCUGCGCCUUGGUCAUUACCAGCCCCCCCAACUCCACCAGGCCCAACCAGUCCUUGAGUUGCCAACCACACAUGUGCUCCUCGUGAUAGAAGAGCAAUUCUGACACCCUCGAGCUGAGGUCGAUGCCUGAGGAGUUAUGAAAUUAAGUUGAGUAAAAAUGUAUUUAUAAAUCAUUACUAAAGCUGCACCUGGCAAUUUAGCAUGCUGCCAGACCCAAAUGGCUGCACUGCAUAACUGAAAAUGUAAGACUUUACAGAAAAAUUCUGUUAGGGUGGCGUCAGUGACUGCCUGACUCAUGGGCCAGGGUAGUGGAGGUGCUGUAGAGGACGAGAUCCAUCAUCCUGGGGAUAAAGUCCUCGCUGCUGCUGUUUAUGGAUUUGCUUUUUCAAUUUUUUUUUCAACAUUUUUUGUACUAGCAAACAUUUUGACGCUGCAUGCCACAUUUGAAGUGAAAGGUGGAGACUAUGCCUGGUGCCUCAGUCAGAUAUAUCGCCUCUCAGUGACAUCAUACAGAGCCAAGAGCAGAAAAACCUGUCUCAAACCUAGUGCUCAGAGAAGUGUGAAUCUUGACCUUUGGCUGUCUGCAUUUAAAACGUCUAAGAACAGAAAAUAAGUGAAACGUAGUCUUCUUUAAGAGUCUGAGGUGACAACCUGUUUGUUAUUAGAUAGAAUGUAACCUUCCACCAGGUUCCUGAAACUCCUGAGUGGCUUAUUAAUAGAUGUGCUGCACUGUUUUUAAAAUGUAGUAUUUGCAAAUAUACUUGUUUUUUCAAAUCCUCAAAUUAGAAAUUCAUUCAUUUCCCAGCAGUGUUAUAGUUUGUUCACAGUUGCUGAAAAAUUUCCAUAAAUAUUCAGUGAUGGUUUGGAGAAAAUGUUGUGUUGGGUAAAUUAACACCACAAAGAAUCGUCCAAAAAUCACAACAAAGAAUUUUUUUUUUAAAUCAUGAAAACAGAAAUAUGGCUUUCACCACACAGAGAUGUUAACAUUUGUGAAUACUAUUUACAGAUAAUAGAUGUGAAUUUGAGCUUAGGAAGAAGUGGAGGAAGCCAUGCAAGAUAGCGGACCCUGCGUCGCGGGAUAUAAACCGCUAGGAAGAAGAAGAUGUGAAUUUGAGCUAAAGGGUAAUUGACAAAAGGCAGAGUAAAGAAAAGAAGCAGAAAAUGAUAAGGCCUACAAUUCCCAUCAUGCAACUCAAGAGAAAUAGCAGAUAAAAGUCCCUAAAGAGCCCCAGUAAAUAUAGCUGAGUUCAUACAUUGAGAGAUGUGAUAAGUAAUUACGAAAAAGAAAAUAUGUAUAAUUAAAGAAAUGCGGGGUGGGUAAAAUGCGAGGGCUUUGACUCCUGACAUUAGAGUUUCUGGCUACGGCCCUGGUGCUCAUCUACACAAACUCCAUAAUUGUCCUUUUGUGCUGCAUGAUUUGCCUUAAACAUAAACCAACAGCCCGAUUUUUUUGUACUAACUUUUUUAGUUUGUUGAUUGUAAGCUGGAGUAAAAUCCUCAAGGUCCGCUUGCUAUAUUUUGCAAGUACAAAUACAGCAUCAAAGCGUCAGGAAAAUGAACUCUUUGGACUCUUCUCCCUUGUGUAUCUCCUCAGCCUUCACCGCUAACUGGAGAAAUGAAAAAAUAUCUUCAAGCAGAGGCUUUCGGUGUAUUUACUCUUCCUCACAAAUUAGCAAGAUACUCCGCCACUUCAGUUGCCUUAUUUUUCGACCGGGUGGGGGUGAGGGUGGCGGGAGGCUCCGUUUAUUGGAACAUUUGCUGCUAACGCUGGAGAUGUGAGAUUAUUUUGUAUACUUCACUGCACCAGGAGCUUCACUGGGGAGCUCACUUUGCAGAAUAUAACCUGGUUCACUGGCACAAUUUAGGCUUCGGAGCAGUUUAGCUUAAUGGUCUUUAAGUGUCAGAAUUUAGUAAGGGUAAUGAGAAAUUUUCUUUAAAGAGCAGCCUCAGCAGCAGCCCUGCCAACAAAAUAUCAAAUUGAUGUCUAUUUGAGAUGCUGGAAACACCCCAGGGCCUUCAGUUUUAGUGGGCUGAAGGUUAAAGGAGAUGCACAGCGAGAUGGUCGCUUUUUCCCACCAUCACUUUUAACGGACUCUUCCAUAAGUCUCCACAACUGAUUCAGUCGCUUCAGGCUGUCUGCUCUCUUACACGUGCCAUUUUCCACACAUCCCCUGUUUUAUACUUUUGUGUUAUUGAGCUGUGUUUUCAAGCGUACAGAGGAAAACUUUUCUAAUUGGCAGGCGGAGGAGGUGGGGGGGCUGUAAAUAAGGUCAGGCAUCCCACAUAUCUGAUGCCAAAUCACCAUCAUCAAUGGGAGAUAAAUCAAUCCCUCGCUGCUUUUUCCUCUUCAUCCCGCCCCGCCUCCCAUUCUCUCUCAAACUCCCUCUCUCCUUCGCGCACAUAAGCACUCCCACCGAGGCCAAUCGAUACCGGAGCGGGUAUUGAGCAGUGGCUGUGGUCCAAAUGAGAGUUUGAUUUCUCGUGGGGGGUGUUAGCCCCUGUAACCAUGGUGUUGAGUCCCCAUCGGGGACCUCUUCGCCAAACGCUCGUUGAUGAAGUGCGUGUGAGAGCAGCGAGCGUGCGCUUUAAACACCUUUUGAUUUAGCUGCGCUCGAGAACAAUACUUUUCAUUAGCGGCUGAUAGCAUUCAUUAAGAGCAAUUCAGCAUGGCCGCUAAUGAGCUGAUCUGCUCUUGAACACUUCAUCCUCCUUGAAAAACAAUCAAGCGCGAGAGAAACUUGCCCUGACUGGAAAACCAGAGUUCAUCACAGCUCCAAAUCAGUGAUGAAUAGCCGGUUGAUUCUUUGCUUGGGAAGCUCUAGCUUUGAGCUCCUGACUGCAAAUCCACCCGUUGGAGCCUAUUCAUUUACUAAUCUGGCGAUACAGUUUGUCUAAACUGACACAAAGCCUGUGCCUUCAGUCCAGUACGCGGCCAGAGCAAUCGCAGAAUCCGUCCGUCAGCCGCUUCUUUGCCCGCGGGAGCCUCAGUUGUCUUUGACAGGAAUUCGUUUGUAGCACCUUACAAAUUCUUUCACCCCCGUCAGAUUUCUCUGCCCUCUGUCUCCUAACAACACGUGGAGCAGCCUGUUUGUCUGAGGGUGAGCAAUGCUAUCUGCUUCUUUCUUAUAUUAUUCAUAUCCCAGUGCCUUUGCAGCGGAAAAACAAGCAAGGCAGAGAGAGGAGAGAAAAGAUGGGGAAGGGACCUUUGACAGAGCAGCUCUGAUGAAGAGCGCGACAUAGUGAGAUACAUAAACAUGAGGUCAGAGAGUGCUGCGGCGAGAGACGGAGGAGGGAGGAAAAAAGCCGAGAGAACGAACGAGUACAAGGGAAAAGCAGCUGAGAGGCAGCGCACAGCUUCAGAAAGGUUGUCCGUCAUUGACGGAAAUCCACCAAUCAAUGCUUUGGCACAACACACACAUUAACCUGUGAUGAAGGGUGUGUGUGUGUGUGUGAUGGAGGAGAGAGUGUGCUACUGGUUUGAAAUGCAGAACACGUCAAGAGUCCUAGGGAGCUCCUUUUGCAGCAAAGCCUCAUUAAAGAGACACUUGCCUUAAAGCAAGGAUAUACUGCCAGACCACACACACACACACACACACGCAGGCAGACUCACUCAGGCUAACAGAAAGGGACACACACGCAGGAGCAGCUCCGGACAAAAUCGAACCCGAGUGCAGAGAUAAAUGUAGACGGGUAAAUGCGGCGCUCUAAUCCCUUUCCCCAUUUCCUCUCCUUGUUCUCCAUUUGAAUAAAGUUUCAUUUAACACCCCCCACCCCCCACCCAACAAUCUCACACUAAUAUUAUAUUCAUGUAUAUUUGAUUGUGUCAACUCUGUGGAGAAUGGCUACGCUGUAUCUUGUGUGCCUUUUUAAAAAUGCAUCGAUGAAUAAAUAAUGUCUGUAUUCGCUGAUUGAAAAAGCCAUAUUGCCAGGAAGCCAUGAUGAAAUGAUAAUGUAAUAUCUGUCCCUGUGCCGAAUAAAGUCAAGCCAUCCCUGCACCCCCUCUUUUUUUCUUAAUUCUCUCAGUAAAUGAAACCUGAAGCUCUGCAACUGCACCUUACACUGCCUGAUGACAUUCUGCUGUAUGGUUUGCACUGCUGCACUAAGUGUGUUUUAAUAAAGACGA